AGUCGAGCGGACAGAUGGGAGCUUGCUCCCUGAUGUUAGCGGCGGACGGGUGAGUAACACGUGGGUAACCUGCCUGUAAGACUGGGAUAACUCCGGGAAACCGGGGCUAAUACCGGAUGGUUGUUUGAACCGCAUGGUUCAAACAUAAAAGGUGGCUUCGGCUACCACUUACAGAUGGACCCGCGGCGCAUUAGCUAGUUGGUGAGGUAACGGCUCACCAAGGCGACGAUGCGUAGCCGACCUGAGAGGGUGAUCGGCCACACUGGGACUGAGACACGGCCCAGACUCCUACGGGAGGCAGCAGUAGGGAAUCUUCCGCAAUGGACGAAAGUCUGACGGAGCAACGCCGCGUGAGUGAUGAAGGUUUUCGGAUCGUAAAGCUCUGUUGUUAGGGAAGAACAAGUACCGUUCGAAUAGGGCGGUACCUUGACGGUACCUAACCAGAAAGCCACGGCUAACUACGUGCCAGCAGCCGCGGUAAUACGUAGGUGGCAAGCGUUGUCCGGAAUUAUUGGGCGUAAAGGGCUCGCAGGCGGUUUCUUAAGUCUGAUGUGAAAGCCCCCGGCUCAACCGGGGAGGGUCAUUGGAAACUGGGGAACUUGAGUGCAGAAGAGGAGAGUGGAAUUCCACGUGUAGCGGUGAAAUGCGUAGAGAUGUGGAGGAACACCAGUGGCGAAAGCGACUCUCUGGUCUGUAACUGACGCUAGGAGCGAAAGCGUGGGGAGCGAACAGGAUUAGAUACCCUGGUAGUCCACGCCGUAACGAUGAGUGCUAAGUGUUAGGGGUUUCCGCCCCUUAGUGCUGCAGCUAACGCAUUAAGCACUCCGCCUGGGGAGUACGGUCGCAGACUGAACUCAAGGAAUUGACGGGGGCCCGCACAAGCGUGGAGCAUGUGGUUUA
rnacentral:rRNA from 1 species